UGUUAGACAACGUUAAUAAUGCAUUGUAUUUACAGUUUAUAUAAAAUUAAUAUUGUUCAUUAAAAAGAAGGUAAAACAUUCAACAUAUCUUAUAUGCUAUUAUACAGUAUUAUACAUUACAGUAAAAACUAAACAAAAUGUAAUAAAUGUAUCACAUGGUAGCAACCAUUUGUAUUAGGGUACAGUAGAAUCCAUUUUUCUAAGAAAUAGUUUUUUAGAUGGUAAUUUUAAUGUUUUUAUGCAAUAUAUGGGUCACAACCCCAAUUUUUUUUUAAACACUACAACCAUUUCAGCUUUGUGCUCGAAUUUAAAAAUGUUGAGAAACAAAUAAUAGUCAAAUGUUGGUAGAUAAUGAGCUAACAUCAAUUAGUGGUCAAUUUAUCUCUUAGUACAUAUGAAAUUCAAUUGGAGGUCAAUUGACCUUAGUACAUAUGACCCCAAGUAGUGGUCAGAUGAUCUUAGUACAAAUGGCACUAAUGGGAGGUAAAAUGACCUAAAGAAGUGGUCAGCUGAUCUUAGUACAUAUGAGUGUGACACCAAUAGGAGGUCAAUUGACCAAAGGAAUGAUUAUAUCAAAGGGAAGUCAAAAUGAAAUGUACAGAUAAAAUAAAAUAAAAGUGAAAGUAACAUAAGAUAUAAACUAUACUUCAUAAAAUAAUGCCUUACUUUCUAUGAGGAAAAAAUGAUAACAAACACACUAAUUGUCAAAUAAAAACCCUGAUUUGAUCAGAAAUGUAAAAAUAUCUAUGCAUGAAAAAAUAAUAAUCAUUAAUACAAUCU
rnacentral:lncRNA from 1 species